GAUGAACGCUGGCGGCGUGCCUAAUACAUGCAAGUCGAGCGAACAGACGAGGAGCUUGCUCCUCUGACGUUAGCGGCGGACGGGUGAGUAACACGUGGAUAACCUACCUAUAAGACUGGGAUAACUUCGGGAAACCGGAGCUAAUACCGGAUAAUAUAUUGAACCGCAUGGUUCAAUAGUGAAAGACGGUUUUGCUGUCACUUAUAGAUGGAUCCGCGCCGCAUUAGCUAGUUGGUAAGGUAACGGCUUACCAAGGCAACGAUGCGUAGCCGACCUGAGAGGAUGAUCGGCCACACUGGAACUGAGACACGGUCCAGACUCCUACGGGAGGCAGCAGUAGGGAUUCUUCCGCAAUGGGCGAAAGCCUGACGGAGCAACGCCGCGUGAGUGAUGAAGGUCUUCGGAUCGUAAAACUCUGUUAUUAGGGAAGAACAAAUGUGUAAGUAACUAUACACGUCUUGACGGUACCUGAUCAGAAAGCCACGGCUAAGUACGUA
rnacentral:rRNA from 1 species